rnacentral:rRNA from 1 species
AUUGAACGCUGGCGGCAGGCCUAACACAUGCAAGUCGAACGAGUGGCGGACGGGUGAGUAAUGUCUGGGAAACUGCCUGAUGGAGGGGGAUAACUACUGGAAACGGUAGCUAAUACCGCAUACCAUCAGAUGUGCCCAGAUGGGAUUAGCUAGUGGGGGGGGUAACGGCUCACCUAGGCGACGAUCCCUAGCUGGUCUGAGAGGAUGACCAGCAAAACUGGAACUGAGACACGGUCCAGACUCCUACGGUAGGCAGCAGUGGGGAAGUUUGCACAAUGGGCGCAAGCCUGAUGCAGCCAUGCAGCGUGUAUGAAGAAGGCCUUUGGGUUGUAAAGUACUUUAAGCGGGGAGGCGUUACCCGCAGAAGAAGCACCGGCUAACUCCGUGCCAGCAGCCGCGGUAAUAC